GUUUAGUUUUCAGCAGAAGCUUUUGGGGUGUCCAACGAAUUUGAAUCUUCAGAGAAUGUUCCUGGCUGCUAGUUUUUCUGGAUUUUCUCUUGAUUAUUUUUCCCUCCUGGAUUAGAGAACUGCAUGCACUAGGGGAAUGGAGGAGUUGGCAAACCCCAGAGGCAAAUGCGGCAGUGGAGGUCAGCGCAGGGUGAAGCACUCCCAGAGCAGCGGCUGGCACAAGGAGUGAGUCCUAAGUGGCCACCAGCAUGGGGAAGCAGUCCUAGGGAAAACUCACCUUGGAGCAGCUGAGAGCCGGUGCGGAAUGGACUGGAGGCUUGGAGAGGAGUGGGGCCCAGUUGUUGGACUGGGGCCUGGUGCGGGCUGUCAGACCACAUAUGGCCGUCCCUGCACUGAGCUACUGCAAUGUAAUGUUUAUUGGUGAUUUGUUUAUUUGACUGUAAUGUCAAUCCUUCAACUAUGUCUUAUUUCUAACUUAUUCUUUAAACACUGUAAAGUGAUGCAACUACUUUUUAUUCCUGCUUUGUACCUAAGAUUUGUACCUAGGUAUUUUGUACCUAAGGUGGCGCUAAAGGAGGCGACAUUGUAAAACUUUUCACUGUACUCCUAUACUUCUGUACUUGAGUACAUGUCACAACAAAGGAUAUUGUCAUUCUAAGGAAUCAUACGAUCAUAAAGGAUUAUAAAGUGGAAAA